GAUGAACGCUGGCGGCGUGCCUAAUACAUGCAAGUCGAGCGAACGGACGAGAAGCUUGCUUCUCUGAUGUUAGCGGCGGACGGGUGAGUAACACGUGGAUAACCUACCUAUAAGACUGGGAUAACUUCGGGAAACCGGAGCUAAUACCGGAUAAUAUUUUGAACCGCAUGGUUCAAAAGUGAAAGACGGUCUUUCUGUCACUUAUAGAUGUAUCCGCGCUGCAUUAGCUAGUUGGUAAGGUAACGGCUUACCAAGGCAACGAUGCAUAGCCGACCUGAGAGGGUGAUAGGCCACACUGGAACUGAGACACGGUCCAGACUCCUACGGGAGGCAGCAGUAGGGAAUCGUCCGCAAUGGGCGAAAGCCUGACGGAGCAACGCCGCGUGAGUGAUGAAGGUCUUCGGAUCGUAAAACUCUGUUAUUAGGGAAGAACAUAUGUGUAAGUAACUGUGCACAUCUUGACGGUACCUAAUCAGAAAGCCACGGCUAACUACGUG
rnacentral:rRNA from 1 species